UACGUAGGGUGCGAGCGUUAAUCGGAAUUACUGGGCGUAAAGCGUGCGCAGGCGGCUAUGCAAGACAGAUGUGAAAUCCCCGGGCUCAACCUGGGAACUGCAUUUGUGACGUGCAUGGCUAGAGUACGGUAGAGGGGAUGGAAUUCCGCGUGUAGCAGUGAAAUGCGUAGAUAUGCGGAGGAACACCGAUGGCGAAGGCAAUCCCCGUGGACCUGUACUGACGCUCAUGCACGAAAGCGUGGGGAGCAAACAGGAUUAGACGUACCCCAG
rnacentral:rRNA from 1 species